rnacentral:rRNA from 1 species
UACCUGCAGCUCGAGUGGUGAUCGUUAUUAUUGGGCCUAAAACGUCCGUAGCCGGUCUUAUAAAUGCCUGGGUAAAUCGUAUGGCUUAACCAUACGAAUUCCGGGUAGACUGUUUGACUUGAGACCGGGAGAAGCUAGAGGUACUCCUUGGGUAGAGGUGAAAUUCUGUAAUCCUAGGGGGACCACCAGUGGCGAAGGCGUCUAGCUAGAACGGGUCUGACGGUGAGGGACGAAGCCCUGGGGCGCAAACGGGAUUAGAUACCCCGGUAGUCCAGGGUGUAAACGCUGCUUGCUUGAUGUUAGUCUGGCUCCGAGCCAGAUUAGUGUCGGAGAGAAGUUGUUAAGCAAGCUGCCUGGGAAGUACGGCCGCAAGACUGAAACUUAAGGAAUUGGGCGGGGAGCACAGCAACGGGUGGAGCGUGCGGUUU